AGUAGUUUGAUCGAUCGGCUCGAGGACGAACGCUGGCGGUGUGCUUCACACAUGCAAGUCGAACGAGGUAGCAAUACCUAGUGGCGGACGGGUGAGUAACGCGUGGGAAUCUGCCUUUAGAUGGGGGAUAACGGGUCGAAAGACUCGCUAAUACCGCAUAUGACGAAAGUUGAAAGGAGUAAUCCGUCUAAAGAUGAGCCCGCGUCCGAUUAGCUAGUUGGUAGAGUAAAAAGCCUACCAAGGCGACGAUCGGUAGCUGGUCUGAGAGGAUGAUCAGCCACAAUGGGACUGAGACACGGCCCAUACUCCUACGGGAGGCAGCAGUGGGAAUUUUACGCAAUGGCGAAAGCCUGACGUAGCGACACCGCGUGAGCGAAGAAGCCCCUUUGGGGUGUAAAGCUCUGUCAGCUGGAACGAAAAAAAUGACGGUACCAGCAGAGGAAGCAUCGGCUAACUACGUG
rnacentral:rRNA from 1 species